rnacentral:rRNA from 1 species
GGAAGUAAAAGUCGUAACAAGGUCUCCGUAGGUGAACCUGCGGAGGGAUCAUUACAAGUGACCCCGGUCUAACCACCGGGAUGUUCAUAACCCUUUGUUGUCCGACUCUGUUGCCUCCGGGGCGACCCUGCCUUCGGGCGGGGGCUCCGGGUGGACACUUCAAACUCUUGCGUAACUUUGCAGUCUGAGUAAACUUAAUUAAUAAAUUAAAACUUUUAACAACGGAUCUCUUGGUUCUGGCAUCGAUGAAGAACGCAGCGAAAUGCGAUAAGUAAUGUGAAUUGCAGAAUUCAGUGAAUCAUCGAAUCUUUGAACGCACAUGAGUCGCUGUAGAUGAUCGGGGGGCAUGCCUGUUCGAGCGUCAUGCUCCGUGAUAGUCGUCGCUUGGUAUUGGGCAUCGCGGUCCGCCGCGUGCCUCAAAUCGACCGGCUGGGUCUUCUGUCCCCUAAGCGUUGAUGCUCGCUGAUAGUCGCUGGUGUUCGGGAGGCUACGCCGUAAAACAACCCCAUGCUCGUGAUAGAUGAUGGAUCAGGUAGGGAUACCCGCUGAACUUAAGCAUUCAAUAAGCGGAGGA